rnacentral:rRNA from 1 species
GACGAACGCUGGCGGCGUGCUUAACACAUGCAAGUCGAACGGGCCUUGUCCCCUUUUUUUUGGGGGUGGGGUUAGUGGCGAACGGGUGAGUAACACGUGAGUAACCUGCCCCUCACUUCUGGAUAACCGCUUGAAAGGGUGGCUAAUACGGGGUGUUCUGGCCUGCUCGCAUGGGUGGGUUUGGAAAGAUUCGACCGGUUGUGGUUGUUUUGGUGGGGGAUGGGCUCGCGGCCUUUCAGCUUGUUGGUGGGGGGAUGGCCUGCCAAGGCUUUGACGGGUAGCCGGCCUGGGAGGGUGUGCGGUCACGCUGGGACUGGGACACGGCCCAGACUCCGACGGGAGGCAGCAGUGGGGAAUAUUGCACAAUGGGCGCAAGCCUGAUGCAGCGACGCCGCGUGAGGGAUGGAGGCCUUCGGGUUGUGAACCUCUUUCGCCAGUGAAGAAGGUCCUGCUCUUUGUGGUGGGGUUGACGGUAGCUGGGUUAAUGAAGCGCCGGCUAACUACGUG